AAAGGCUCGUAUGGACUGCAUCUGUAGAGAUGGCUGCUCUGACACAUGUCCAUGUCCUUUGUCUGAACUGUCAUAGAGAGUGGUGGCCCUGAAUACACUCCUUGUACGCAUGUCCAAAUGCUGCUGUGUCUUCAGAACCAGGACACCUGCAGUAUUACCAACAGGUGCCAGUGACUUCUGGAAAACACAUGACUGUAGCUUCAUGGCCCUCACACUCUGCCUACAACCCUUCUUCUUCAGCCAAUCUCUUCAUGUCUCAUUUUGUGUGUAGUUCAACAACUUUAAUAAGACUUGCUUGUUUAAAGAUGCACACACUGAACCCUGGGCAGGAGAGGAUGCCCCGAGAUGUAAUCUAAGUGGCUUCCAAAGGCAAGGCAUACAUACUCUCUUGGCUCCCUCAUUCCUCCCUGUUAGCCUGCUCUAAAGACCUUCCUUUCUGAAGAAAACUCCCCAUAUAACGCAUCAAGCACUUCAGAUGAUGAAGAUGUCUCCAAGUGCCUCAUGAGAAAGAGUCUUGCUGGAGAAGGAUGUCAUUAUAUCACCCACAGACUGGCCUAGAACAGACAGAGACAUGAGGACCCUCCAUGAGACACAGCACAUGUAGGCCUUAGACACCUGCUUGCUGCCAAGUCACACAGCCAAGACAGAGGAUGUCACUCAGGGUCCUGCCAGUUGUGUAACCAGUCUGCAGCAGAAAGUUCCAGAAUGUGUAAGCAUGUGGUGGACAGGACUGGUUAUUCAGGGGGAUGAUCUAUCUAUGGAGAUAAGAGGACAGUUGAUGGAUUUCUGGCCACUGGCUGCAGGCAAGGUUGGCUUGAAGUGAGGCUGCCUGGGUGUGUGCCCCUGCAGGAAAAGCAGGAGGAAGGAGCCAGGCAAAGAGGACAGCCCUGUGUGGGAAGAUGUGUCACUGGUCAUUCUUUACAAAGAAAAUAAAAAUGAGAUUUCUUGU
rnacentral:lncRNA from 1 species